rnacentral:rRNA from 1 species
GACAGAGGGGGCAAGCGUUGCUCGGAAUCACUGGGCGUAAAGGGUGCGUAGGCGGCCAUGUAAGUGGGGUGUGAAAUCCCUCGGCUCAACCGAGGAACUGCGCUCCAUACUGCAUGGCUUGAGGGAGACAGGGGUAAGCGGAACUGAUGGUGGAGCGGUGAAAUGCGUUGAUAUCAUCAGGAACACCGGUGGCGAAAGCGGCUUACUGGGUCUCUUCUGACGCUGAGGUACGAAAGCUAGGGGAGCGAACGGG